rnacentral:rRNA from 1 species
GGCGAGUGAAGCGGCAACAGCUCAAAUUUGAAAUCUGGCCCUUGGGUCCGAAUUGUAAUUUGUAGAGGAUGAUUUUGGUGCGGUAUCUUCCGAGUUCCUUGGAACAGGACGCCUUAGAGGGUGAGAGCCCCGUACGGUUGAAUGCCUAGCCUCUGUAAAUCUCCUUCGACGAGUCGAGUAGUUUGGGAAUGCUGCUCUAAAUGGGAGGUAAAUUUCUUCUAAAGCUAAAUAUUGGCCAGAGACCGAUAGCGCACAAGUAGAGUGAUCGAAAGAUGAAAAGCACUUUGAAAAGAGGGUUAAAUAGCACGUGAAAUUGUUGAAAGGGAAGGAUUUGUGACCAGACUUUUUCUGGGCGGAUCAUCCGGGGUUCUCUCCGGUGCACUUCGCCCAGUAAAGGCCAGCAUCGGUUUUCGGCGUGGGAUAAAAGCAGUAGGAAUGUGGCUCUCUACGGGGAGUGUUAUAGCCUAUUGUAUAAUACCGCGCUGGGGACCGAGGUUCGCGCUUCUGCAAGGAUGCUGGCGUAAUGGUUAUCAAUCACCCGUCUUGAAACACGGACCAAGGAGUCGAACAUUUGUGCGAGUGUUUGGGUGUUAAACCCUCACGCGUAAUGAAAGUGAACGGAGGUGAGAGCCCUUACGGGUGCAUCAUCGACCGAUCCUGAAGUUUUCGGAUGGAUUUGAGUAAGAGCAUAACUGUUCGGACCCGAAAGAUGGUGAACUAUGCGUGGAUAGGGUGAAGCCAGAGGAAACUCUGGUGGAGGCUCGCAGCGGUUCUGACGUGCAAAUCGAUCGUCAAAUCUGCGCAUGGGGGCGAAAGACUAAUCGAACCAU